rnacentral:lncRNA from 1 species
GCAUAUCCUGUUGAUCAUAAAAUAAAAAAAUUAUUAAAAGAUAAUACAUCUGGUUCAGUGCAAAUGUGAGGGAAAGGUGAACACAUGACAUAGAAGUUGGAGAGAGAGAGAGGAGAGGACAAUCAAACUUCAAGAGCAAUGACUCACCAAUGCAAGAUUGAAAUCAAUCAGNUAAUAGGCCCACGAGUUAGUCUUCAAUUAAAUAUUAGAUUAGUAUAUUUGAAGCUUUAAGCAAGUUACUGAAACAAAUAAUAUCUUCCAUCAGGUCCCCUCCACUUGACAUGACAAUAAAAGUAUAAAACAAGUUGAUUGUAUAAGAAUAAACCUCACCGGCUGUCCCAUACUUUUUGUGCAUAUCCUGUUGAUCAUAAAUAAAAAAAUUAAUUAAAAGAUAAUACAUCAGGUUCAGUGCAAAUGUGAGAGAAAGGUGAACACAUGACAUAGAAGUUGGAGAGAGAGAGAGGAGAGGACAAUCAAACUUCAAGAGCAAUGACUCACCAAUGCAAGAUUGAAAUCAAUCAGGUAACCCUUGUUGACCUUGCGAGAGUAAAGAAAGUUUCCAGGUUUAACAUCUCUGUGAACAAAUCCCUGUAAGCACAAGGGCGAUCAAAACUUAUUUUUUCAUAUUUUCCUUUCAAAAAGAAUUAAACUGCAUAUAAUGAUACAUGCAUCUUUACAUAUUCUCUGACCUGCCUAUGUAGACCAGCAAGGGCUUUGAACAGACAAUAACCAUACCACUGUAGGUCAGCAACAUUCAUAUCUCUUUUUAAGAUCUGCAGGUUGAGGUAUUGUUACAAGAGAACAAGGACGGCUACAGAGAGAGAUUAAAGGAAGAUGAUUACCUCAGGUCUGUCAUGCUGAACAUGUUGCAAAACAAGACAAACAGCACUCUUACUCUUAAAUGAACCUUCAUACUUUAUCACAAAGUUUCUCCCCCUGUCAUUAAGAAUAAUAAGCAAAUCAUUACCACUGCCAAAAUAAAAUUUCAGAAGACUUGGGAUAUGUUAAGAAUUAAAAAUAUUGUUUACCCCAAUCUCUCUAGCAUUUUUAUCUCAUUGUUCACAUAAUUUUUAUUGGCGUUGACAUGAGGACCUGGAAAACCAUUAAAAACAAAAAAGUUAAAGUAGCCAAACAUUUAUCCAGCUGUGGAAGUUGAAGCAUUCAUUGUUCAAAAAUACUCAUUAAAAGCACUAGCUGCUUUAACACAUACUUGAACAUCACAAGAAUAACACAACUACCUUCUUACAUCUAAGUGUUUUUUCCCUUUCAUCUCGCUACAUUAGAGGUGCAUAAAAGAUUAUGCCUUACAAAGAGGCUACAAUCAGUCUUAAUUUAUAACUGAAGUUUCAUAACAACAAGAAAGGCAAAGCAUUUUCUAAGAAAGAAUCAUCCACAAGUCUUCAAGCUUUUGCACUAUCUAGUAGACACAAAAUUUUACCAUUUUGUAGAACAUCUAAUUCUGCACGACUACACUCAAUAUGAUGCAACAGUGGAAACUACACACAAUAUGACACAAGAUGUAUGUAUGAUUUGACAGAAAAAGUAAAUGACUAAAUACAGAAAAUUAUAGAGAAGGCUAUCAUACAUUUUAUGGCAAAUAUUACUCCAUCGUCUUUCCUUCUUGCCCGGUACACUGUACCAUAACCUCCUGCACGAAAUAAGAAAAAAGCUUUGAUCUAUAACACAUAAAAAUUACUCUCCUUGCUUAUAUGUGUAUAUACAUAUAACCUCUGUGUGUGGGUGAGUGUGUAAAAAGAUCUUGAAUAGUCAAAUGAAUCCUGAGCCCUCUUCUUGUCCACAAUAAAUGACUCAAAUUCCGGAAAAGGUUCUUGCUUAAUAUUCUGCAAAACAUGAAUAUAUCUUAAUUCUUCUGAGGUAAAUAUAUCUUAUGGAAACAAAUAUACAUCCACAUUGGUCAGCCCAUAAAUCUUAGAUUGCAAGCUUACAUUGGAUAUGGAGGAAGGCUUUUCCUUAUUCUCAGCGGAAGCAUCCCUCUUUUCUUUUAGUGUUUUCAAUCUGGUCGCAAUCAAUCUUUUUCGUUUGCUGUACAGAAACUGGGGUUUUUAUCUCUUUUACAUUUGCUCUUGACCUUUAUCAGUAAGGCGCUUGCGUUUCUCUUUGGUGGGGCAGAUAUCAUUCUUCCUAUCAUAUGCUCCACGCUUGGUAUCGAGAUUGAGGGUAGAGGAAUGCUUCAUGG